rnacentral:rRNA from 1 species
GACGAACGCUGGCGGCGUGCCUAAUACAUGCAAGUCGAACGCACUCUCGUUUAGAUUGAAGGAGUUUGCUCCUGAUUGAUAAACAUUUGAGUGAGUGGCGGACGGGUGAGUAACACGUGGGUAACCUGCCCUAAAGUGGGGGAUAACAUUUGGAAACAGAUGCUAAUACCGCAUAAAACCUAACACCGCAUGGUGUAGGGUUGAAAGAUGGUUUGGCUAUCACUUUAGGAUGGACCCGCGGUGCAUUAGUUAGUUGGUGAGGUAAAGGCUCACCAAGACCGUGAUGCAUAGCCGACCUGAGAGGGUAAUCGGCCACACUGGGACUGAGACACGGCCCAGACUCCUACGGGAGGCAGCAGUAGGGAAUCUUCCACAAUGGACGAAAGUCUGAUGGAGCAACGCCGCGUGAGUGAAGAAGGUUUUCGGAUCGUAAAACUCUGUUGUUGGAGAAGAAUGUAUCUGAUAGUAACUGAUCAGGUAGUGACGGUAUCCAACCAGAAAGCCACGGCUAACUACGUG